rnacentral:lncRNA from 1 species
AAUAGUAGCAAUAACAAUCAAAGCGUAUGAUCAAACACAAUAAGGUUUAAGACAUCUAGAAGAACCAAAUGUUUUAGAAAACCAAAGAGGGCAACAAAAACAACUCACUCUUGAUGUUUGGUGGUCUCAACAUUUAGCAUGUAAAACAACAACAAAAACUAGUGAAUGCAAUAAGUUUUAAGACAUCUAAAAGAACCAAAUGUGUUAGAAAACCAAAGAGGGCAACAAAAAUAACUCCCAAGUAAGAUAUUUAUCAAAAACAUAUCUGUCUUGAAAUGUUGGAAUACUCAAUUUAACUUUAGGGAGAUGGUCAUGAUCCCGUACCUGGUGGGGUGGUGCAGCCCUACCGUUGCGAUUGUAUCUGUGUGGAUGACCCAGUGCUUGCGGUGGUCAUUUCCCUAGUGCCGAUUUGGAGAAAACUCUCCCUCAUCAUCGUAAUCACCAUUAUAAUCCUCAUUCUGUUCAACGACAGUAGUAGCAGCAGCCAUGGAAGACACAAAAGCAGCAACGGGACCAAAAUUCUAGCCUUGGUCGAGAGGCACAUAUUGCGCUCAACCCACGAAAUCCGCACAUUGUUGAUGUUGUUAUUGUUGUUGGAGAGGGACGGUAGGUGCAGCUGGUGGUGGUAGACGGGAAAGCACCUCAGUGAACUUGGCGUCCAUCUUGGUGUCGAAUGUCUUUUUCAAACCAUCUAGCUUCUCCAUGGCCUCUCAAACGCUGGUCACCAAGUGUUGCACCUGGCCACCCAUCAUUUGCUGAAAUUUAUCAUGGAGCUCCUUAUUGGUUAGGCCCUCCUAGUUGAUCUCUUCAGCUUGUGAUCCUCGCAUGGUUUACAACAAUAGGAACAGACACAAAUAUAAACCUACAAACUACUAGGAUAUGGUGGUGGUGGUGAUUUACAAAUCCAUCAAGCAAAUCUCAACUUCUUUACAGUUCUUACCUCGCAGUAGGUGGUGAUUCACAACCGUUAUAGUCAAAACUCUCAAAGCUUCGAUAAAGCGAUUGCCACGUGUUGUCAAACACACGAACUACAUGUAUGUGGAGCAUGUAAGUCUUAUAACAUGGUAGAAAAAAGGGUGAGCAAUAAUCAGUUCAGAGAUGCAAAGUUAAAAAGACGCUCAACAACGGUACCAUGCCGGUCUUAGCAACAAUGUUUUUCAAAGAAGUCUUAGAAUGGUCUAAAAAUUGCGAAGGUAGAAUUUUCCAGACUAAGUUUUUUUAACUCGACCUAUUUCUCUACCGCGGGCAACACAAAGGUUAGGGAGUCAAACUUGAUCACGACACAUAGUAUGUCAUGAUCUAGAAAUCAACUACAAAGCUACAAAUACUAUGCUCUAACUAGGAUCGGUAGAAGAUAUGAAUAUGGUGGAACUCGGACUAGUGGCGGAUGUAUGUGGGGAUGGUGGAACACGGAUUGGUGGCAAAUCCAUGAUGGAGGUGGACUAUAAUUUGUGUGAUGGCAGAUAUGUGGUGGUAUAUAUGGACUCAGAUUGGUGGCAGAUAUGCGGUGCUGGUAUAUGGCGGCGGUGAUGUAUCUUCUGUGGUGGUGGUAUUGUUGGGGAACGUUGCAUGGGAAACAAAAUUUUCCUAUGCACACGCAAGACCUAUACAUGGUGAUGAUGAUCAUCUACGAGAGGGGAGAUCGGAUCCACAUACCCUUGUAGAUUGCUAAGCGUGUAGCAUUAAGAAACGCGGUUGAUGUAGUCGAACAUCUUCGCGAUCCAAAUCGCAAACCGUCCCACGAACUCCGUCCGAUCUAGCGUCGAACGAACGGCACCUCCGCGUUCAGCACACGUACAACUUGAUGACGAUCUCUGUCUUCUUGAUUCAGCAAGAGGGGCGGAGAGGUAGAUGAGUUCUCCGACAGCACAACGGUGUGGUGGUGGUGGUGAACUAAUCCAGCAGGGCUUCGUCAAGCUACGCCAGACUAAUCUAGACGAGGGAGACGAUCUAUGGAGGAGAGGGCAACACGUGGCUUUUUCUGGUGUAGUUUUCCCUUAAAACCUCCACUACAUACAUAUAGGAGGAAUAGGAGGGAGGGCUUCCUUGCCUCCUACUUCAAGGAGGAGGCUUCGGCCGAGCCAAGGGAGGAGAGUCCUCCUCCAAUUCGGUUUGCUGGAGGACUCCCUUCGUACUUGGCCACCUCCUUCCUCCUCUUUUUUAUCCUUUUCCUUUCCUUUUGCACUUGGCUGAAAUUGGCUCUCUUGGGAUGGCUACAUCAGCCCACUAUGGGCUGCCGCACCACCUUUAGGCCUAUUAUGUUCUCUCCCGAGUGGGUGGCCCGUCCCGGUAAAACCCCAGAACCCAUUCGUCAUUCCCGGUACUUUCCUAUAUAUCAAUCUUUACCUCUGGAACAUUCCAGAGCUCCUCGCGACGUUCGGCAUCUCAUCUAGGGCUCCGAACAACUUUCGGUCACCAACAUACACAACUCAAUAAUACCGAAACGUCGCCGAACCUUAAGUGUGCAGACCCUGCGGGUUCGAGAUCUAUGUAGACAUGAACUGUGACACUCUCCGGUCAAUAACCAAUAGCGGGACCUGGAUGCCCAUAUUCGCUCCUACAUAUUCCAUGAAGAUCUUUAUUGGUUGAACCUCUAUGUCAAAGAGUCAGUUAAUCCCGUAUAACAUUCCCUUUGUCCUUUGGUAUAUCUCGUUACCGGCAAGUCUCUUUACUCGUUUCGUAAUACAAAAUCUUGUGGCUAACUUUUUAGUCACAUUGCUUGCAAGGCUUGUUUGUGAUGUUGUAUUACUGAGUGGGACCCGAGAUACCUCUCCGUCAUACAGAGUGACAAAUCCAAGUCUUGAUCCAUGCUAACUCAACGGAUACCUUCGGAGAUACGUGUAGAGCACCUUUAUAGUCACCCUGUUAUGUUGCUAUGUUUGAUACACACAAGGCAUUCCUUCGGUGACAGUGAGUUACAUGAUCUCAUGGUCAUAGGAAUGUAUACUUGACAUGCAAAAAACAAUAGCAAUAAAAUAACACGAUCACAUGCUAAGUUCAUAGUUUGGGUCUUGUCCAUAACAUCAUUCUCCUAAUGAUGUGAUCAUGUUAUCAAGUGACAACACUUGUCUAUGGCUAGGAAACCUUAACCAUCUUUGAUCAAGGAGCCAGCCAACUAGAGACUUACUAGGGACAGUGUUUUGUCUAUGUAUCCACACAUGUAUUUGUAUUCCCAUUCAAUACAAUUCUAGCAUGGAUAAUAAACGAUUAUCUUGAAACAGGAAAUGUAAUAAUAACUAUUUUAUUAUUGCCUCUAGGGCAUAUUUCCAACAGUCUCCCACUCGCACUAGAGUCGAUAAUCUAGUUUCACAUCACUAUGUGAUUUACAUUAUAACAAAUCUAACACCCAUAUAGUUCUGGUGUUGAUCAUGUUUUGCUGGUGGAAGAGGCUUAGUCAACGGGUCUGCAACAUUCAGAUCCAUGUGCAUUUUGCAAAUAUUUAUGUCCUCCUCCAUGAUGUAAUCGCGGAUGGCAUUGAAGCAUCGUUUUAUGUGUCUGGUCCUCUUGUGAAACCUUGGUUCCUUGGCUAGAGCAAUGGCACCAGUGUUGUCACAUAACAGAUUUAUUGGAUCCAGUGCACUUGGCACAACUCCAAGAUUUGUCAUGAACUGCGUCAUUCAGACACUCUCUUUAGCCGCCUCCGAGGCAGCUAUGUACUCCACUUCGCAUGUACAAUCAGCUACGAUGCUCUGCUUGGAACUGCACCAGCUUACCGCAUCCCCAUUGAGAAUAAAUAUAUAUCCGUUUGUGACUUAGAUUCAUCCAGAUCAAUGUCUAAGCUUGCAUCGACGUAACCUUUUACGACGAGCUCUUUGUCACCUCCAUAAAUGAGAAACAUUUCCUUAGUCCUUUUCAGGUACUUCAGAAUAUUCUUGACUGUGGUCUAGUGCUCGAUUCCUGGAUUACUUUGAAACCUCCCCGCCAUACUUAUGGCAAGGCUGACAUUAGGUCUUGUGCAAAGCAUUGUAUACAUGAUAGACCCUAUGGCUGAAGCAUAGGGACGACACUCAUCGUUUCUCUAUGUUCUGCAGUCACUAGGCAUUAAGUCUUACUCAACUUUAUACCUUAAAACACAAGCAAUAACCCUUUCUUGGAUUGUUCCAUUUUGAACUUCUUCAAAAUCUUAUCAAGGUAUGUGCUUUGUUAAAUUCCAAUCAUACGCCUUGAUCUAUCUCUAUAGAUCAUGAUGCCUAAUAUGUAAGCAACUCCUCCCAGGUCCUUCACUGAAAAACUUUUAUUCAAGUAAUCCUUUACACUUCCCAAAAGUUUUGUAUUGUUUCCAAUCAGCAAUAUGUCAUCCACAUAUAAUAUUAAAGACACUAUAGAGCUCCCCCUCACUUUCUUGUAAAUACAAGCUUCUCCAAAAACUUGUAUAAAGCCAAACACCUUGAUUACCUCAUCAAAGCGUUGAUUCCAACUCUGAGAUGCUUGCACUAGUCCAUAGAUGGAUCGCUUGAGUUUGCAUACUUUUUCAGCAUUCUCUGGAUCGACAAAACCUUCUGGUUGCAUCAUAUACAACUCUUCCUUAAGAAACCCGUUAAGGAACGUUGUUUUGACAUCCAUCAGCCAAAUUUCAUAAUCAAAAAAUCCAUCUAUUGCUAACAUGAUUCUGACGGACUUAAGCAUAGCUACGGGUGAGAAAGUCUCAUCGUAGUCAACUCCUUGAACUUGUGAAAAACCCUUUGCCACCAGUCGAGAUUUAUAGACGAUCACAUUACCGUCCACGUCUGUCUUCUUCUUAAAGAUCCAUUUGUUCUGAAUGGCCUUUCUCCCUUCAGGCAAUACUUCCAAAGUCCAUACUUUGUUUUCAUACAUAGAUCCAAUCUCGGAUUUCAUGGACUCUAAUCAUUUGUUGGAAUCUGGAUCCACCAUCUCUUCUCCAUAGCUCGUAGGUUCAUUGUUGUCUAACAACAUGAUUGAUAAGACAUGAUUACCGUACCACUCACGAGCAGUACGUGCCCUUGUUGACCUACGACGUCUGAUAGCAACUUGAUCUGAAGUUUCAUAAUCAUCAUCAUUAACUUCCUCUUCAACUGGUGUAGCUUCGUCAGAAACUUCUUUCUGUCCUACGCCACCAUCUUGUUGAAGAAAAGGUUCUACAACCUCAUCAAGUUCUAUCUUGCUCCCAUUCAAUUCUUUCAAGAGAAACUUUUUCUCAAUAAAUGCUCCAUUUUUAGCGACAAUCACUUUGCCUUCGGAUCUGAGAUACAAGGUGUACCAAACUUUCUCUUUUGGGUAUCCUAUGAAGAAGCACUUUUCCGCUUUGGGUUCCAGCUUUUGAGGCUGAAGCUUUUCGACAUAAGCAUCACAUCCCCAAACUUUAAGAAGCGACAACUUUGGCUUCUUACCAUACCACAUUUCAUAUGGUGUCGUCUCAACAGAUUUUGACGGUUGCCUAUUUAAAGUGAAUGCAGCUGUCUCCAAUGCAUAGCCCCAAAAAAAUAACGUAAAAUCGGUAAGAGACAUCAUAGAACACAAUAUACCUAAUAAAGUACAAUUACGACGUUCAGACAUACCAUUACUAUCGGUGUUCUGGGAAUGGUGGUACCCAGACCUGCCUGCGUGCGACCCAGGGUUGGCCCACUUCAUAGACCAAAACCAACACGCCCGGCACCACUCAAGGAAAGGCCCUCGCGAGGGGCCAAGCCUCAGGAGGAGGAACAACAUCAAGACCCGCAGGGGGCCUCCUCAGGACCCCUCCGGAGCGGCGGAUAUUCCGAGGCGAGACCCGACCUCAGGAGUCAAGGAUGACGUGGGGGAAGGAUAGGCGAGCAACAGACAACAAGACAGUGUAGUAGCCCCUUUAGUGCAAAGGGGGCGAGGACACACGCAGGUCUCCAAGGCAUUUCCCAAAGGUUUCCAUUCUGGUGCAACAAGGCCAUCGCCGCCCGCCAGCAGGACGGACGUCAUCCCUAGUCCCGUCCCUGCAGCGCUGGCGGCCACUUUGCAGGCGAAGACUAGUUUUGGAGAGGGGAAGCAUGUUCCCCUACCCCCCCCCCUUUAAAAUUGGCCGUUGUGGGAUGCCUUCCCGCUGAAGCGAUAAGGGAAGAGGACCGGGGCCGCCACUAUAUAUAGAGAGUAGGUUACUUCAUAGUGGGGGAUCCGAUUCAUUCUUCACCCAUUGGCACCACAUAAAGGCAACCCAACGCCCGGAGGCCCUCGAACACUGUACUAGUUCAUCCACCCACCUCCACGAGAGGCAAUCCACCAAAUCAAGAUUAGGGUAUUACACUCCUCAGUAGCCUGAACCUGGGUAAACUGUCGUGUUCUUUGUCUUCCUCAUCGUCGACUGAGUUCUCUGCCAUCCCCAGUGAGUAGAGAGUCACGCAAACCAAGGCUGUGAAGUGUCUUCCGCACGCGCCCCCAAGUUCGAUCUUUAGGGUUUUGCGAAGCCCGAAAUCUGACAAUUGGCACGCCAGGUAGGGGGUGCGUGUUGGAGACUCCACGCCAACAGCAAGAGCCAGACCUCGACUCGGUGACUCCAGGGCAAGCGCGACCACCGACAGCCGCCCGUCUCCAUCGGUGGACGGUGUUCGGGCGAGCAGGGCCGCCCCUGCAGUCGCCCGCAUUCUUAGAGGAACGCAGGUGCCACCUUCCGGCCGUCACGUCAAGCGUUUCCUAAAGUGCGAGGGGGCGGUUCACCCAAGGCCCGAGCCCGCGGAACACCGCAUAUGGCCGGAGGUCAACAUCACCUUCGACCCUGACGAUCACCCCAAGGCCAUGACGGCCUUCGGGACACUUCCAAUGUUGUGCAUGCCGACCAUAAGCGGCGUGGCCGUCUCCAAGACCCUCAUCGACGGGGGCGCGGGCCUCAACGUCAUCUCAGUAGAGGCCUUCGACGCACUGCAGUUGACCCAAGAGCAUCUUGCGCCUUCAAAGCCCUUCUCCGGGGUGGUGGUAGGAUCUGUCACCCCUGUGGGACGAAUUCGCCUCCCCGUCACUUUGGGCACCCAGUCCAACUUCCGUACCGAGCAGAUUGACUUUGACAUCGCCCGCAUCUACCUUUUGUACAACACAAUACUCGGCUACCCCACCCUCGUGCAGUUCAUGGCAGCAACGCACCGAGGCUACAACGUCGUCAAGAUGCCCGAGAGAGGCGGCGUGCUCACCGUGGUGGGGGACGUCAAGGACGCAUCUUGGGCACUCGAGCUCUCCCAAAAGGCCGCGGCCGUGGCACGUGCCAACCUCAAGGGCGCGGUGCACGCCGCAGAGGACCUUGGGGACGUCCCCAACGUCGCGCCCAUGAAGAAGAAGCAGUUGUUCUCCCGCGACCGGGAGGAAACAAAGCAAGUACCGGUGGAUGAAGGAAGCUCGGCUCCCACCUUCACCAUCGGCGCAAACCUCCCCCAUGACAAAGAGAAGACAUUGGUGGGUUUCCUGAGGGCGAACAGGGACGCGUUCGCUUGGAGCGCCUUCGACCUCGUGAGCGUCCCGAGGGACGUCAUUGAGCACCACCUCAUGGUGUGACCGAAUGCGCGCCCGGUGAAGCACAGGGCAAGGAGGCAAGCCCCGGAGAAGCAGGCGUUCGUCGCUCACGAGGUGCGCAAACUAAAGGAUGCAGGGGUCAUUCGAGAGGUGCGCUACCCAGAAUGGGUGGCCAACCUGGUGGUCAUCCCUAAGAAGUGCGGGAAGGAGCGCAUGUGUGUCGACUUCACGAGCCUCAACAAGGCUUGCCCUCAGGGCCCGUUCCGGCUACCACGCAUCGACCAGAUCAUGGGUUCCACCAUGGAGUGCGAUCUCCUGUGCUUCCUGGAUGCAUUCUCGGGCUACCACCAGAUCAGGAUGGUGGUGGAGGAUGUCGAAAAGACAGCCUUCCUCUCUCCGUGUGGGGUAUACUGCUACGAGUGCAUGCCCUUCGGGCUGCGGAAUGUCGGGGCAACCUUCCAGCAGUUGAUGCAUAUCGCUCUGGGACCGCAGCUUAGGAGGAACGCAGGGGCCUACAUCGACGACAUCGUGGUCAAGUGAAGGUAGGCAAAAACCCUGGUGGAGGACCUGGAGGAGACCUUCGCCAGCCUAAGAGAGGUGAACCUGAAGCUCAACCCCGAGAAGUGCGUCUACGGUGUCCCAUAUGGCAAACUGCUCGAUUUCCUUGUGUCGCACCGGGGGAUCGAGGCAAACCUGGUGAAGGUUAAUACCAUAAACAAGAUGAGCGCACCCACAACCCUCAAGGAGAUGCAGCAGUUGGCGGGGUGUGUUACCUCCUUGGGUCGUUUCAUCUCCAAGCUCGGUGAGCAGGCCCCGCCUUUCUUCAAGAUCAUGAAAAGAAAGGGGCCCUUCAAAUCGACCCUGGAGGCCGAUGCAGCCUUCGAUGACCUCAAGCGAUACCUCAUGAGCCCGUCGAUCAUGGUGGCGCCUCGCCCGCGGUAGCCUUUGCUUCUGUACCUUGCUGGCACCCCCACAACGCCAGCACCGCGCUGGUAGCAGUAAGGGAGGAGUGGACCCGCAAGGGUGCCACUUCGGGGAACCCCGGCGGGCCCCCAACCGCAGAGUCUGGGGCUUGCACGACUCGCAAGCUCCGAUUCCCCCGCAGGCAGAGGGACCUGAGGCUCAGACCGCAGGGUCGGGCCAUGAGAUGCUCAACCCUCCUGAGGCCACGUCCCCUCCUCCGGAUCGCGAGAUGCCCGUACCUAUUGAGCUCGAAGAGGAGCGUGACGCCCCGGGGGGGCGCAUCCUCAUCGAGCACCCGGUGUACUUCAUCAGCACGGUGUUGCAGGAUGCACGCUCGCGUUAUCCCAUGCAGCAGAAACUCCUUCUAGCGCUCCUCCUUGCUUUGCGCAAGCUGCGCCACUACUUUUAGGGGCACCCAAUCAAGGUUGUCUCCGCCUACCCCUUAGAGAAGAUCUUGCAUAACCCAAAUGCGACGAGAAGGGUUGCCGAAUGGAACAUUGAGCUUCAGGCCUUCAACAUCAAAUUCAGCACAACCAGGGUCAUCAAGGGUGCGGCCUUGGAUGACUUCGUGGCGGAGUGGACAGACGCACCUGACCGGGGGCUCGAAGGGAGCCGAUCCCUUGCCCCUCGUGUCGAGGCACCUGAGGGAUGGACCAUGCACUUCGAUGGAGCCUUCACACGCAGAGGAACAGGGGCUGGAGUCGUGCUCACUUCCCAGAUGGGAGACAAGCUCCGCUACACCAUACAGCUCUGCUUCCAGUGUGGGGAGAAGGUCUCCGAAGAACUCCAACUCAAAAAAGCAUCGCUCUCACGUUAAAGGAUCACAUUACCUAUACCCGCAACUUUUGUUGUAGUAAUUUAUGAGUCACAAGGACUUAGCAAUCUCAUUUCCAAGGGUAUCAAGACUAGCAAAGCUUAAUGGGCGAGGUAUGGUUAAGUGAUGAGGCUGCAACAAGUAGUAAGCAUUCAUCUGAGUGGCUAAAUCACGAGUACAAGAAUAACAAGAGUGAUAUACACAUAAUCGGAUGUGAACUAGUAAUGAUCAAGAAGAGAUCUUGAAGACGUAUGACGAGUCAAUUAUAACCCCAUCGUGUUCCCUUGGUUCAAACCUCAUAAGAAGAUAUGGUCACAGUUAUGCACACAGUUGGUAUAUUUUAGUUGAGUUUACUAUAACCGGGUGUUAAACAAAUUUCAGAAUUCCACAGAACCGUGGGCAUGACUCUAAAAAAGAUUUAACCUUGCAGGGAUGCUCCAAGUCAUCCAUCACAAACUAGCCACAAGUUGCAUGGAAGACCUCAACCUCGAGAUAGCGGAAGGUAUCCUCGGAGUCCCGACGCACAUGACUUUUAAGAAAGGUAAAACAAAUCCAGCAAGGCCUCCCGAUAUGUCAACGAUCUCGACAGGAGUCACGUAUCUCAUUCUCACGACACGGCGGAUAAGCGACGCCUACAUCAGCCUGAUAGAAAUCCCUCGAGUUUCCCCACGGUGGCCCUGCACAGUGCUCUGUUUUGGACCAACACUCAUGAGGAGCACUGGCCCGGGUUGUUGAUUAAUUAUCCACGUGGUCUGGAAAAUCCCUAUGUAAGUUUUAUUACUUAGGCAAAAGUAGUACCAAUGUUGGGCCUUGCCGAAAGAGUUUUAUCCCAAAACAAAAAUAAAGGGGGUCCCCAUAACAACCCCAAGCAUGUUAGGAGUGCUCAAUAUGGAACAUAACACAGGUUCACAAGUAACUAGGNNNNNNNNNNNNNNNNNNNNNNNNNNNNNNNNNNNNNNNNNNNNNNNNNNNNNNNNNNNNNNNNNNNNNNNNNNNNNNNNNNNNNNNNNNNNNNNNNNNNUAGGGCGAAUUCUAUUUAUAUUGGUGUUGGGCUACUGUAUUAUCACUUUUCCAUGGCUAUUACCCCCCGAUACUAACCAUAGUUUCAUCAAAACAAGCAACCAACUAAACAAACAACAGAAUCUGUCAAAAACAGACCAGUCUGUAGCAAUUUGUAUACUUUGUAUACUUCUGGUACCUCAAAACCUCUGAAAAAUUACGACUGCCUAGGAAAAAGGCAUAUCAACCAGCAUAAAAAAGAAUCAACUCAAAAGCUCUUUCUGAAUAAAAAUGAAAAAUCAUCUCGUGAGCGAAAAGUUUCUGUCUUUUUCCAGCAGGAUCAAACAACCAUUACCAAGACUAGUCAUAAAGGUUUUUCUUGGCUCAAACACAAAAAUAAACACAAAAAACACAAUCACAACAGAACUAUGAUGGUUUGGAUGCAACAAAAUAGAAAGAAAAAAGAUAAAUUCAUUGGGUUGCCUCCCAGCAAGUGUUAUUGUUUAACGCCCUUAGCUAGGCAUUCAAAUAUGCUCUCACAAAAGACAAGAAUUGAAGCACAAUGAGAGCAUCCUAAAGCAUGUGAAAAUCACAUCUAAGUCUAACAUACUUCCUAUGCAUAGGCAUUUUAUAGGAAAACAAAUUGUCAAGACAACCAAUAGCUGCCAUAUGCAAGAAGAAGAAAGUGACAAGAGCAAUCUCAACAUCACGAGAGGUGAUUUAGUAACAUGAAAGUUUUUACCACAAUAUUUUCCUCUCUCAUUACAUGUGGGAUCAUAUUCGAAUUCAACGAUAUAGCUAUCACAUAGGAUAUUGUUUUCAUGACCCACAUGCAUGCAAAGUUGACGCUCUUCAAAAAUAGUGGGAUUAUCAUCUGAAGUCAUGACUUCUCCAAACCCACUUUCAAUAAUAUUGCAAAUAUCAUAUUCAUCUUGAGGCUUGAACAAAUUUUCAAGAUCAAAAGAAAAAUCAUCACCCCAAUCAUGAUCUUUGCAACAAGUAGUGGACAUAGCAAGACUAGCAUCCCCAAGCUUAGGGUUUUGCAUAAUUUUAGCAUGAUUGUCACUAAUAGAAUUUAUAGUGAAACCAUUGCAAUCAUGCUUUUCAUCCAAGGAGCCCUCGUGAAUCACUUCAUGAAUUUCUUCAUCGCGAUUUUCAGAUUCACGCAUCUCAAGCAAAACUCCAUAAAGAUAAUCUAGUGAGCAAAACUCACUAGCAAUUGGUUCAACAUAGUUGGACCUCUUGAAAAGAUUAGCAAGUGGAUGAGGAUCCAUGUCACUAGAUUCUUAGCAGCGAAGAUGCAAGCAUUUUGAAGGCACAUAGCACACAAGCAAAGGAAAAGCAAACGACAAAGGCAAACGAAAAAGGCAAAUUGUGAAGUGGGGGAGAGGAAAAUGAGAGGCAACUGGCAAACAAAGUAAAUGCAAGAGAUGAGUUUGCGACACUUACUUGGAUGAAUUCUUGACUUGAUCCUCCCCGGCAACGGCGCUAGAAAUUCUUCUGCUGCGGCAACAAAAGUCCUUCCCUGGCGCUUAGGAAUUCUUCUUGUUACUUCUCUGGUUUGCGUCGGUUUUUCCCUUGAAGAGGUAAGGGUGAUGCAGCACAGGAGCAGUAAGUAUUUCCCUCAGUUUGAGAACCAAUAUCGAUCCAGAAGGAGGGCCUCGUCAAGUCCAGAGUACCUGGGCAAACACAAACAAGCUUGCACCCAACGCUUCAAAGGGGUUGUCAAUCCCUUCAAGAUUGUUUGCAAAGUGAGAUCAGAAGGCGGAAAGUGCAACGAAGUAAAAAAGUGUAAGGCUGAAAAUAUGGUGUGGAGUAUACCCUGGGGCCCAUAGUGUUCACUGGAGGCUUCUCUCAUAAUAGCAAAUAUCACGGUGGGUGAACAAAUUACUAUCGAGCAAUUGAUAGAACCGCGCAAAGUCAUGACGAUAUCUAACGUAAUGAUCAUAAAUAUAGGCAUCACGUCCGAGACAAGUAGACCGAUACUUUCUGCAUCUACUACUAUUACUCCACACAUCGACCGCUAUCCAGCAUGCAUCUAGUGUAUUGAGUUCAUGACGAACAGAGUAACGCCUUAAGCAAGAUGACAUGAUGUAGAGGGAUAAUCUCAAACCAAUGAUGAAAACCCCACCUUUUUACCCUUGAUGGCAACAACACGAUGCAUGCCUUGCUACCCCUUCUUUCACUGGGUGAGGUCGCCGCACGGUAUGAACCCAAAACCAAGCACUUCUCCCAUUGCAAGAAUCAUAGAUCUAGUUGGCCAGACAAAACCCACAACUCGAAGAGAAUUACAAGGAUAUGAAAUCAUGCAUAAGAGAGAUCAGAAGAAACUCAAAUAAGAUUCAUAGAUAAUCUGAUCAUACAUCCACAAUUCAUCGGAUCUCGACAAACACACCGCAAAAGAAGAUUACAUCGGAUAGAUCUCCAUGAAGAUCAUGGAGAACUUUGUAUUGAAGAUCCAAGAGAGAGAAGAAGCCAUCUAGGUACUAGCUAUGGACCCGUAGGUCUAUAGUGAACUACUCACGCAUCAUCGGAGAGGUCAUGGUGUUGAUGAAGAAGCCCUCCGUGUAUGAAUCCCCCCUCCAGCAGGGCACCAGGACGUGCCCCAGAUGGGAUCUUGCGAAAACAGAAGCUUGCGGCGCCGGAAAAGUACUUUCGAUGAUCUCCUGAUUUUUUUGGGAUUUUUAGGGAAUUUAUAGGCGCAACCCCUAGGUCAGGGGGCGCUCAGGGGGCCCACAAGCCUGGAUGGCGCGGCCUCCCCCUGGCCGCGGGGUGGGGGCUUGUGGGGCCCAUGAGGCUCCUCUGCCUUGGCUCCCAAGCUUCCCGAUCUUCUUCUGGUGCAGAAAAAAUCUUUUCGGGGAUUUUCUUAUGUUUGGACUCCGUUUCAAAAUAUCCUCUGAAAGGGGUCAAAAACAUGGAAAAUACAGGAACUAGUACUUGGCACUGAGUUAAUAAGUUAGUUCCAAAAAAUAUAUAAAAGGCAUGCAAAACAUCCAAAGUUUGACAAGAUAAUAGCAUGAAACCAUCAAAAAUUAUAGAUACGUUGGAGACGUAUCAUACGUCUCCAAUGUAUCUAUACUUUUUUUUGUUCCAUGCUAUUAUAUUAUCAAUCUUGGAUGCUUUCUAUGCAUUUAUGUGUUGUUUUAUAUCAUUUUUGGAAACUAACCUAUUAACCAAGUGACAAGUGCGAGUUGGUGCUUUCUGUGUGUUUUUUGGCUUUUAAGGGAACCAGUACCAAAUGGAGUCCAAAUGCUAUGAAACUUUUUGACCUUUUUUUGGAAAAAAUAGGACCUCGAAUCUUCUGAAAGAGGCUUGAGGACUUACGAGGAGGUGAAAAUCAAUAGGGUGCCCCCUAGGGGGGUAGGCGCACCCUAUUACCUUGGGAUCACCUCGUGGCUCCUUUUGGCCUAAUUCCACCGGUGUAAAUUCUGAAAUAUUUGGAAAACAUCAAAGAGCCAGCCAGAACACUUUUUCCACCAUUGCAAGUCUCUUUUCCGACGGGAGGACAUCUUGAGACCUUUUUUGAUGCCCUACCGGAGGGCCAAUGGAUCAUGGAGGCCAUCUUCAUCAACCUUGAUGCCUCCAUAAUGUUGUGUGAUUAGUCUACCAUAGACCUAUGGGUCCAUAGCUAGUACCUCGAUGACUUCUUAUCUCUCUGUGAUCUUCAAUACAAAGUUCAACGCGAUUACCACGGUGAUCUAUUGAAUGUAAUCUUCUUUCCGGUGUGUUUGUUGGGAUCCAAUGAAUUGUGGGUUUAUGAUUAGAUUAUUAAUGAAUAUUAACUCAGUCUUCUCUAAAUUCUUUUAUGCAUGAUUAUCAUAUCUUCUUAUUUCUCCGCGAUCUAUCGGUUUGGUUUGGCCAACUAGAUUGAUUUAUCUUCAGUGGGAGUGGUGCGUUGUGAUGGGUUCAAUCUUGCGGUGCUCAAUCCCAGUGACAGAAAAGUACAUGACACAUAUUUGUAUUGCUGCCAUUAAGGAUAAAACAAUGAGUUUUAUUCAUAUUACUUGAGUUUACUUUGUCUACAUCAUGUCAUCUUGCUCCAAGCAUUACUUAGUUUCAUACUUAAUACUCUAUAUGCAUGUUGGAUAGCGGUCGAUUAGUGGAGUAAUAGUAGUAGAUACACACAAGAGACGAUCUAUUUGCUUACGUAUGUGAUGCCCAUAUACCUGAUCGUUGCCUUGAAUAAGAUGUCAUAACUAUGAGCUAUUCUAUCAAUUUCCCAACACUAAUCUGUCUAUCCACCUUAUACUAUGUUCAAGAGAGAAGCCUCCAGCAAGAACUAUGGCCCCCGGGUCUACUCAAAUUAUAUUACAAAAACUACAAAAAUAUUGCUGCCAUUUAUUUCUGUUAUUUAUAUUUAUAUUAUCUAUCUAUCACUACUUAAUCCUUGCAAGUAACGAGUUCAAGGGGCUGGAAAACCCUCUUGUCCGUGUUGGGUUCAUGUGUUCGAUUCUGUGUGUGCGGGUGCUGACAAUGAGGGCUUGCUUAACACUCCUAUUGGUUUGAUAACCUUGGUUGUCGCUAAGGGAAAUAUGUAUCUCCAUUGUGUUGCAUUUCCCGUCCUAUUUGGUAGAAAUCCAAUGCAGUUUACAAGUAGCACCCUUCAUUGCUCACUCCAUCAUCCUCCUCCAAAAGCCUAGCAUCGAGGGUUAUAACAAUGGCCACUGGCGCGGGCUCUUCCAAGCGCCCCCAUGGUCCCCUUCAAGGUGACUGGGGAACUUUUUCCGUCAUGCGCCUUUAGCUGAGUCGACUAUUUACACGGAGCUACUUGUUGGAUCCACAUUUGGCCGCCACCCGCCGAGUUUUGAUAUUCGUCGAUGGGAAGACGCACGUCGCAACCAUCCCAUCCCUCACGGGGAUGAGCGGGUAUGUUUUGUUGCUUUCCUUGUUCAUGGCCCGGGAUUUCCCAUCCGUCCCUUCCUCUGUGGACUGCUUGAGUUCUAUGGAAUUCAACUUCACCACCUGACCCCUAAUUCGAUUCUACACAUCACUAGUGUAAGGGCAUUCUCCUGCUUAAGUCUUUUGGUGAUGAUGACAACUCACUAUGUUAUCUAACCGGGUGUCAAGUAUGCAGGUAUCAUUUGUUAAGACACAAGACGGUUAGGUAUCCCCUCCAAACGAAAAAGAUCAAAGACGUGUUCCCUACGUGUUUAUUCUCUUUGGUCGUAGGGAUCCCGUACUAUUAAGAGGGAAUCCACAUUGGAAGUCUAUGGGUGAAUCAAUUAUUCUCACGCACUCUUGCACCCAUUGUGUUCCAUCGCAUCAUUGAGAGAGAGGAGCCCCUGUUUUUCUAACUCACCGAUUGUACCGUUGCUAUGGGCAGCUAUACCGCUCAGCUGCUCGGCGGUUGUACCGGCCCUGCAUCAGUCCACAACCGGUCACGGUUCUGUUUCAGUGCGGUUGUUGGGCGGUGGUGAACCGGUUGUAACGUUAUAUUACUUAUAGCCGGCACUACCGGUGUUCCAAGCGGUUGUACCACUUGGGACUUAGCCACGCCCAACGGCCAUGGCUGGUGACACCUCUGGGCCAACUUUCUGUUUUGGCCCAGUUGUAGGGUGGUGGUUGACCGGUUGUUCUGCUAAAAUGGGAACAUUGGUUGUACCGGCUUGGCGACCGGUUAUACUGCCCUGUGCAAAAUUGUUGUAACGGUUAGAAAUCUGGGGGAACCUAUAUAAGGAGGGUUUUCUUCUUCCUCCCCCUUAUCUCUUACGUCUCUCUCUCCACCAUUGACGCACUGAAUCUUCUUGCCCGAUCUCUCUCCCUAGCCACCCAAACUUGUUGUCUUGCUAGGGAUUGAAGGAGGAGACCUAGAUCUAAACUUCCACCGAAGGAAAAUUGAUCCCCCAAGUUCUUGUGUGGAUUUUGUUACUCUUGGGUGUUUGAGCACCCUAGACGAAAUAGGUCACCUCGGAGACACAUUCCAUUGUGGUAUAGCUCUGUGGUCUUGUCGGGAGCCUCCAAUUAAGUCGUGGAGAGAGCCCCAACCUUGUCGUAAAGGUCCAGUUGCCACCUUCAAGGGAACCACUUAGUGGAAUCACGACACCUCACAUUGUGUGAGGGCGUGAGGAGAAUAUGGUGGCCUUAGUGGCAUCUUGGGAGCAUUGUGCCUCCACACCGCUCCCACAGAGACGUACUUCCCUUCAAAGGGAAGGAACUUCGGGAACACAUCCUCAUAUUCAUACAUGUAUUUACUCUUUGCUUAUUAUUGUUGUUGUUAGCAUCAUAUAGGUUUCUCACCUAGUUGCAUAUCUAGACAACCUAUUUGUUGCUAAACCUAAUUUGUUUAAAGAAAAGCUUAAAAUUUGUUAGUUGCCUAUUCACCCCCCUCUAGUCAACCAUAUCGAUCCUUUCAACUAGUUUGUCACCCUUCGCAAAAUGUACCUCGAAUGUGAGGCGCAUUUUGGGUUGUCAAGGAUAUACUUAUGCGAAAUUCAAUGUUCCUACAAUGAGAAGUUACACGAGGUGGGAGUAGGUGAAGCAUGUAAAAUAGCUGGGACCGUCUACCCUAGAGGCACCCCUUGAGAGGAUGAACAAUGGGCGUCUGAGUGUUUCUAUGUAGCCAAUGUCCCAGUGCAUGACCCAGUUCAGCGUGGACUCCCUUCUUUCUCUUCGGCUCCUCCAAAGAAAUGUUUUAGCUGGAGGCCACAAAGCAGUGCGCAUAAGGAUAACUUCUAUGUGGCCCGGCUUGCAGCCAAGGUGACGUGUUUGAGAGACACAUGCCACACCAUAGUGUAUGUGAUGGCAACGGUCAUCAUUCGAAGAAUCGAAGCCCUUCGGCAACACCAACAUCUAUUAUGUUUGUACAACGGGACAGCCGAUGCCACCCGAUCAAUCCGGGAAGAUUUAAAAAACGAUGCAUCCUUUGGCGUGGUCUUGGCAGGCAUGUACAUGGGAGAACACAGGAUUUCUGAGAAUGUCGUCUGCAUGUUGAGACUGUGCACAUUGAAGAUUUCUGAGAAUGUCAUCUACAUUUUCGUAUUUUUAUUUUUUUAGCACUAACCUAUUAACCCAGUGCCAAGUGCCAUUUGUUGUUUUCUACAUGUUUUUGAUUUUUCAGGAAUACUAUAUCAAACAAAGUCCAAACCCCCCGCACUUUUUGAUGAUUUCUUCUGGACGAGAAUAAGACUUGGAAGCUUCGGAGGAAGACCGGAGGACACACGAGGUGCCCCCAAGCCAACGAGGCUGAUGCCUUGGGGCCACUUCCCAGCUCUUCUACCUUAUCUCUUCGUUAUAAAUUUCAUAUAUCUAUGAAACCCUAGAGAUACUCCUGAAACACUUAUUCCGCCGCCGCAAGCUUCUGUUUUGCCGUGUGCCCAUCUGGAGCCUUGUUCCAGUGCCCUGCCAGAGGGGGGAUCAAUCACGGAGGGCCUUUACAUCAACCUUCCUGCUCCCAUGGUGAUGCGUGAGUAGUUCACCAUAGAUCUACAUGUCUGUAGUUAGUACCUAGAUGGUUAUCUCUCUCUCUAUGUUCUUCAUUACCAAGAUCACCGCGAUUCCCACAGUGAUCUCACUUUUGUGGGGUGCAUUUGUUGGGAACCUAUGAAUUGUGUGUUUAUGUUUAGAUUAUUCAUGAAAUUGUAUUGAGUUCCUUGCUGGUGUUUCAUAUAUAUGCAUGAUUAUGAUAGCUUUGUAAUUCUCUCUGAUCUAUCAAUUUGGUUUGGCCAACUAGAUUGAUUUAUCUUCAGCGGGAGAUGUGCGUUGUAGUGGGUUCAAUCUUGCGGUGCUCAAUCCCAGUGAAAGAAAGGGACAUGACAUGUAUUGUAUUGCUACCACUGAGGGUAAAACUAUGGGGUUAUAAUUGGAUUUACUUUUUCUACACCAUGUCAUCAUCCUCCAAGCACUACUCUGUUUUUACUUAAUACUCUAGAUGCAUGCUGGAUAGCAGUCAAUGGGUGGAGUAAUAGUAGUAGAUGCAGACAGGAGUCAGUAUACUUGCUCAUGGACGUGAUGCCUAUACGUGUGAUCAUUGCCAUGAAUACAUAUUUGCAUGACUAUCCGCUUUUGUAUCAAUUGCCCAACAUUAAUUUGUUUACCCACCAUAUGCUUUCUUCGAGAGAGAAGCCUCUAGCGAAAACUAUGCCCUUCGGGUAUCCUCACAAAUAUAUUUACAAAAAAUCUAAAUACGUUGCUUACAUUAUUUACUUUCUUUUUAUUUUCUAUUUAUAUUUAUCAAACUAGGUAUCUAUCACUACUUAUCACUUGCAAGUAACGAGUUCAAGGUGAUAGACAACUCUCUUGCCCACGUUGGGUGCAAGUGUGUGCCCUUUUGUGUGUAGGCAUUGAAGACGGGAAAUUGCAUGGUACUCCUAUUGGUUUGGUAACCUUGGUUGUCACUGAGGGAAAUAUUUACCCCUACUGUUUCGCAUCAUCCCCUCGUCUUCAAGGGAAAAACACAGCUUACAAGUAUCACCAACCGAUAAAAUUAGGAAAAGGUUAAUUUUUCAUUUGGUCAAGUAGUGUAAUCACCCCUCUAAACAUACUUCUGAUCCAACAGGCAUCUACUCCUCCUGAAGCAAUUACCCCAACUCGUGCACCAAGGGUUAAGACAACUACUAUUGAAAUUCCAAAAGAUGAAAAAUCUUAUUUAUAAAAAAAUGUUUAUGCACUCAACAAAACCUCAAGAAGCACAUCAAGCUUGAUAGGACACAGAAAGUUUAUCUAGCCAUUGAAGUCAAUCUCCUGCACAACUAUGUUCACCAAGCUCUGCUUCUGGUGAAGGAAGAAAAGAAUUGCUCCUGGACUCUUCUUCGGAAGCACUAUCCAAGGGAACAAUUGCAUGCUAAGGGCAUCGAGAAAGAUUAUCCACAUUUGGAUCUGUUUGAAGUUCCUCGGCUGCGAAGACAGACUUCGGUUUUACCUCGGAAAUCCACUUCCACUAACAUGUUGUUUCUCGAAGGAGACAACAUCUUGGAUGAUACUGAAGCCACUUCUGUGUACUAUCGUAACAAAGACAAAUCUUCUCGCACCCCUGAAGCCAAAGUUGGAAGCUGUGCUGCUACAAACUCUUCUAUUUCUGCUCCCAUUGGAUCUGUUUUGCCGAAUAGUUCUAGCUCUACUAAUUCUUUGAAUGAGCAAUUCCUCGUGUUAUCUUGUUCCUUUUUGCCACUUAAUGACAAAAGGGGAGAUGUAAAUCAUGAUUUAGAUGUGUGGGUCAUUUGCUUGUCUUUUGUUUCAUCGUUUGCUUGCUCGAAUGAUUGGUUUUUCAGUUGUGUCAUUGAACUUAAGUUUGUUGGCCUUUGAAACUUUUAUAGUACCACAACUGGUAUUGGUGAACAUAUUGACAUGCAACGUUAGUAACCCCACCUUGCAAUGCUAUCAUUAUUCUACAUGUUUUGCACGUGUAAAAUAUUAUCACAUUACACGAUUCUCUAAUAUAAGAAACUUCAUUCAUUUCAUAUUCAUCUUCUAUAUUAUCUUUCGAUAUUACAACUUGAUUUGGAACUUUGUGAAACUCUCAAAUAAUUCACCUUGUGUCUCCAAGACAAAAUUUUAAAAGUCUUUGUGUUCUUGAUUCAAACCAUUUCAAAGGCUUUGUUUUGCAUAUUAAAAUUCGGUCAAAAAGAAUGAGUGAUUGAAAUGCUUCAUUUGUCCUAACAUGUUUUUAUCCUUGAAAGCUUACUCUAUUGAAGGAGAAACCCCUUUCAGAAAUGAUUCUGAAGGAAAAUAGUUAUACUCACUAUGACGAAUAAUUACAAAGCUUGUGUAUGCUUACUUCAAAUCUCUUUAAAGUCGUUGUCUUACAAGAGUCAAUUCAUUCUGAAACCGUGUGUGAACUUUUGUAAAACACUCUUCUAAGGUUAUUUCUGUGACAAAUCAUUUCAAAGUAUGUUUUUGCAGGAUUUCCGUUCAUAAAAAGUUCAUUGUAUGCAUUUAUAUUAUUCCACUUUAUCAUACUCUUCUUCAAUGCUUAUUUCAAUCAAAGAUAAGUAUCCCUCCUGUCAUUCAUACUUUAAUUUGUGCAUGAUUCUCCAUUUCAGAUCUUUAAAUACAUGCACAUCUUUCGGGGGAGCAGAAUUUCAUCUUCGACUAUACUUCAGUUCAUUUAUUUACCUCACAUCUUUGGUUAUCUCAAUUAAUUAUUUGAUGUAUGUGUCUUGUCAACAAACAUCCAAAACACGGGAGAUUGUUGGUGAAAUACCUUGUCCCUUGGGUUUUGGAGAUUGUUGUGAGAAACAUCAAGGGACUGAUUUGUUUGUUAGUGCACACAGAGAGAAAUAGUCCCUAGCGUACCGAUAAGAAUGCUAUAUUCUUCCUUGAAGUUUGGAGAACUUCACCAAGGAACAUCUAAUUUGUAGAGAAGGAAGAUAUACAUUUCAAGGAGAAGUUGCACCGUGAAGAUUGCAUGAGGGCACUGAUCCCUUAAAAUUAUUGCUGACGCUAAGCAAUUUCCAUUCAAGUGUCCGAAGAAAAAUGACUAUAGUUGAGGAGUUUCAAGGCGCAACAUUCUUAUGAUCCUAUUUGAGUCCUAGGACCUCUGUAACAGGGGUAUAGGUUUGUAACGACUAAGAUGCGGUCCUUUCCGAUUUAGGGAACGAGGCCCCAAAAUGGAAAGAAGCGCAUCUAAGCGUUUCGCAAGCAAGAUAAACAUAGCACAUACAUAUAUAAAGAAUGACAAAUAGGGAAUCGUUUGCCAUCUCAUAGAUAAUAUCAGAGUUAGCAUCACACAUUUAUUCACACAAGGCAGUUCCGAUACGGACUACAAAACAUGAGAAAAGGCUAUGUUAUCCCGCAUGCUUGCCCACGAUCACGACCAUGCCUCCGUCUUCUAGAUAGUUCACGUACAGGCGGUCGUUCUCCUCAUCGUACUGCCAAGCCAGCUGCGUGCCAUCGGGAUCACCUGUGUCGGGCGUACCUGUACCUGUUGGGGUGUUGAAGUAAUCUGUGAGCCACACGGACUCACAAUCUAUGACCUCGGUACCGAAACUAUUCAAGUUAUUAGGUGAGGAAGGUUCAUUGUUAGGUUGCAGCAUCCUAAGCAUUUAUGGUGGCUAACGUACGAAGAACAAGUUAUAGAUGUGGUGGUCUACGCUAGCUGUCGAAGACUAGCUGAUCGCUAAGUGAUCCUGAACACCUACUUACGUCAAACAUAACCCCACCGUGUUCUCGAUCGAAGAGAGGUCUUUGAAGGGGACAGUCACGGUUACGCACACAGUUGGCAAUUUUAUUAGAUUAAGUUCAAGUUAUCUAUAACCGGAUGUUAACAAGUAUUCCAAGUUGCCACAUAACCGCAGGCACGACUUUCCGAAAGAUUAAACCCUGCAGGGGGUGCUCCAACUAGUCCAUUACAAACGGUCACGGGCCGCAAAGUAAUCCUCUAUCACGAAUCUCGUGAUCUCGUCGGAUUCCUUAGAGGAAAACCACAACUCUCGGGAGAACCAUAGCUUCACUUGGAUUCCUAUACGCAAGAUAUAUCGCUAAGGUAAGACAAGACUAGCAGGACCUCCCGACGUGUCGACGACCCUGAUAAGAGCCGCGUAUCUCAAUCUCAGGACACGCCGGAUAAGUGAAGCGUACGGCGGCCAGAGAAAUCUCCCGAGUUGCCCCGAGAUGGCCCCGCGCGGUGCUCUAGUUUGGAUCAACACUCAUGAGGAGCAAUGGCCCGGGUUGUUGAUUAAUUCCUCGGGGUAGCUAUUCCCUAUNCAACGCUAACAUUAGAAGCUGAGCAAGCCUACUUAGCCAUUCAAUAUUAGCUAGGAGGGGAAAGUGUAUGGGUUUCAUGGCAAUAUCAGGAGGCAAUUAUUUAAGUGGUAGGCAGCGAGCAUAUGAUGAAGGAAACGUGAAUCUAGGCAUAACAAAGCUAGAGACGAUAUCAAGGUCAUGGUCAUCUUGCCUAUGAUGUCUUCAGCUUGGAACUGCUCUUGUUCGUCCUGCACAUACUUCCCGAAUCCACGUACUCGCUCUCCGAUCCCGGUUCUACCCAACAUAAAAAUAGCAUCCAAUGAACAACAACACAACAUGAUGCAACACGCACAUGAUGCAUGAGAUGAGAAUGUAGCAUGCAUCUCUAUUCUAGUCACUUGCAUAUGCAUGAGAAGAAAAUACAAACUUCUGGACAGAUCUCCACUCUAAGCUAUCUUGACAUGCAUGAAGAUGACAUGAACAGAUGUAUCACGCGAAAACGAUGCAAAAACAUAUAAAGAACAUUGAGAACGGAGCUACGGAUCACCCGGAAAUUACGACACAAAAUAUGGAGUCCUACGGAUCAAAUCUACCACAAGCACUCACCAAUGGCAUACUUCUGGUAUUCCCAGGUUGCCAUAUGAUCAAACAAACAAGUAUAGGUGGGGUGGUGCAAAGAAACUCACCACACCAUCAACUAUGCACUCACAAGCUUCAAAACAACAAAACUAUACAAUAUGUCCUAAACAGCAUCAUAGCAGUUUGAGAGCAACAUGCAAAGCACCGAAAGCCACCCAAUUGUGCCAAAUAAGAUGUGUGGCAAAAGCUAUUCAAAAGCUCUACAAGCAUGAGCAAAAAUAUAAUACAAAGGAGUUACACACAGAAAGAUCUACAGGUGCUAACUUGGCCAAAAAUAACAGAUUUCACGGACUUAGUGAAAAUCUCAGAUUUUCACCAGCUGUUUAUGCUCUGAAGCAUUUUGACAGCCCCCAAAACAAUAUCUACAGGAAGUGAAAUGGAAUGAAAACUGCCAAAGAGCUAGACAAACACAAAAGCUAAAACUCUCUAGUUGAUUGCAAGGGAUGAUUCCCAACACAUGAACUUUUGCAACCACAACUACGAGGGAAGAAAAUAACAGCAAUUUCUUGGACUUAGUGAAAAUCACAGAUUUCACUAAACUGACAAUUUCAGCCACAUGCCUACUUUGACAAGGCACAACUUGCACAUAUAAACUCCUAAGCAUGAAACACCACCACCAUGCUAUAGAGGGGUUCACCCUCUACUGCCACAACAAGGAAUCAUUCUCUUAGGCCCAUCACAUCACAUGGAACCAAGCUCUAAACUUAGGACAAAACAGAAAAAUGACAUUCACAGAAAGUGUUCCAAAGGGGAAUAUGAUUCCACCAUUGGAUUCCUGGGAUGAUUCUACCCCAAAAACAUAUAUAAUACCUAGGUACUUGCAUAGAACAACUAGACACAAAGUUGAAAGGAAAACUACAUGGAAUCACAUGGAUGCAAUAGUGCCAUAUCACAUGUGUUCUCACUAGCUCAUCACCUACACAUGCACUUGCACACACUCACAACUCCAAUGGUGACAUGAGGGUUUAGACCUCAUGUAUGUGUGUCAUAGCACAUCACCAUUCACACACACACAUGCCUCAAGCAUACACACACUCACAUCACUAUCACUAUCUCACACACAUACAAGCUUGCACACAAAUGCUCCUAAGGCAAAGCCAUGCCUUAGGCAUGUGGGUGUCACACACACAUGCAGCACAAGGACACAUACACACACCACAUGUAAGUUGCACCACAUGAUCACCUACACACACACACAAGCACAUGGGUGCUUGCACACUCAUAAGCACACCUCAUGCACAUACACUAGUGCACUUAUGCACAAGCACACACACAUCACCACAUGCACCUACACAUGCUCUUGGGUACUUGCACCACACAAGCACACAUGCACAUAGAUGCUUGCACUCACAUAUGUAUCCUACACGUAUACACUAGCACAAUCACAUCAUAAGCAUCACUAACUACACAAGCACCCUAACUAAAUCAUAGAUGAAAACCUACUGGUUUAGGUCCUUAGGCAAAAUAUAGAGAUGCCCAAGCAACCUACAGCAACUAAACCAACAAACAAAUUGAAAAAUAGCAAAAGGAAUAGGCAAAAAAUAAAAGGGGCUUGGGGGGAAUCGAACCCCAACCCUGCUAAUCAACACGUAGCAGCAAACCACUGCACUACUGGCCAUCAGCUCGACAGAACAGAGCAGGGAACAAAGUAAGCUUGCCUCUGAUGCUGUUGUGCCUGAAACAAAAUACAAAAAGGCGCUAUGGGGACUCGAACCCACGACCAAACGCUGCACAAAACACCACCUACCACUAUGUUGUGCUAUCGAGGGUUAACAGAGAGGAGGGCUCUGCUCUUUUGAGCACCCCCUUUGGAUCCAACACAACCCGACGAUGGUCGGAACAGGGGAAGCACACCGCCGGCGAUCCACACCGAAUUGAGCACGGGCUCGUUGCUGGAAGGGAGAAGGACCUCUCACGGUUCCAUUUCUACACUAAGCUCCACGAGAGGAAGGGAGUGGGCUGUGCUAGCGAGGAGCUACUGGGCCAGCGAGGAGGAGAAAGCCCGCUCGAAGGCGCCAGGUAGAGUAAAAGAAAAACCCACUGGGUUUUUCUAUUUAAAACAAAACAGAGAGAAAUAAAAAAACACAGCCCACACUGUUGAAGCUAAAAUAAAACAAAAAUGUUCCUGGUCAUAAGGGAAUUAUGACCUAUUUAAAUAAAAUGAAAAAGGAAUUUUUGGAGCAAUUAAAUAUUUACAAAACAGAAUUUAAAUAUCUGUUUUGUGAAUAUUUACCCCACUUAAAUAAAGUUCAAAAACACAAUAAACCUAGCACCACAUCCACUAAAAAAUACUAUAAUUGAACUACAAAUUUGAAUGAGGGAUAGAGCAAAUAAAACUAGAGCUUGAGAUAAAUAGAGAGGGGGGAGUUUUGAAACCUAUUUGAAAACUUACAAGUUGCACCUCACUAUCAAAUGCACCACUUCAUCACAUCACAUCUCAUCAUCACAUAUCACACCCAUGGAACCACAACAACAACAAACAAUACAAUGAAGGCAUGGAUAUGGAUGCAUGCAUGCAAGGGAAACAAGACGAGGUAAGCAUCACAUGAAAUAACACAUGCAUAUUUCACAAGGCACUGACAAGAUGGACCCACAUACAAGAAGGUCCCAAAUAUGGCAAGUUACACUAUGGGGCAUUACAAACUCUCCCACACUACAAAAAGAUCUCGUCCCGAGAUCUAGGACUGAAAGAACUCUGGGAAUUUAGAACGGAGGUGAUCCUCGCGUUCCCAAGUGGCCUUUGUAUCGGAAUGGUGUGACCACUGCACCUUGAGAAAUUUGAUAGACUUGUUGCGGGUCUUGCGCUCAGUCGCCUCGAGAACCGCAACUGGAUGCUCAUGAUAGGAUAGGUCGAGCUGAAGGUCGAUGUCUUGAAGAUGAACUAUGCGCUCGGGAGUCUUGAAGCAUCUUCGGAGCUGACAGACAUGGAACACGUCAUGCACAUUUGCAAAGUUUGAAGGGAGCUCGAGCUGAUACGCAAGGUCGCCUCUCUUGCCAACAACUCUGAAAGGACCAACGAAACGAGGCGCAAGCUUGCCUUUGAUGCCAAAGCAUUGUGUACCCUUCAUAGGAGACACCUUGAGAUAGACGAAGUCAUCGAGCUCAUAAGACAUGUCAUGAUGCUUGCUAUCAUAAUAGCUCUUCUGACGGGACUGCGUUGCUCUAAGACUAUCCCGAAUGACCCGACACAUCUCUUCAGCUUCUUCUAUCAAGUCAUUCCCAAGAAUCUGACGCUCGCCGGUCUCGGACCAGUUGAGCAGGGUACGACACUUCGUGCCAUAGAGAAUCUCAAACAAAGCUUUGCCUCAACUAGCUUGAUAACUGUUGUUAUACGAGAACUCGGCGAAAGGCAGGCAGUCUUCCCACUUCAUGCCAAAAGAGAUAACACAGGCUCUCAACAUAUCCUCAAGGACCUGAUUGACUCUCUCCACUUGCCCACUAGUCUGAGGAUGAAAAGCUGUGCUGAAUCAUAUCUUCGUGCCCAUCGCAGACUGAAAAGAGUCCCAAAACUUGGAAGUGAAGAUACUUCCAUGAUCCGAAGAAAUCAACAUAGGCACGCCGUGAAAAGAUACUAUCCUUGAAGUGUACAGUUCUGCAAGCUGAGCUGCCGAGAUGGAUUCCUUGACUGGAAGAAAAUGAGCCACUUUACUCAACUUGACGAUGAUGACGAAGAUGGCAUCAUUACCCUUCUUGGACUUCGGAAACCCGGUGACGAAAUCCAUCUCAAUAUGGUCGAACUUCCACUCGGGAAUGGGCAAUGGAUGCAAAAGACAUGCUGGACGUUGAUGCUCUACUUUCACCCUUUGACAUACAUCACAUUCAUUUACGAACUAAGCAUCUCACGCUUCAUGCGAGUCCACCAGAAGGUCUGUUUCAAGUCCUGAUACAUCUUGGAGCUUCCUGGAUGUAUUGAUAGCAGAGAGUUAUGAGCUUCUUCCAUGAUUACCUUUCUGAGAUCACCUUUCGGAACGACAAGACGAUCCUCAAAGAAUAAUGUGUCUCUGGCAUCAACACUGAAGCACUUAUAUUUGGGCACUCCCUUUGCCAAGCCAAUCUUAACCUUCUUCACCAUUGCAUCAAGAAGUUGUGCUGCUCGGACCUGAUCUUCCAAGGUAGGAGAGAUCUGAAGAUUUGCAAGAAAUCCCUGAGGUACUAAUUGAAGGUUGAGCUUUCUGAAAGAUUCACAAAGGUCAGGCUGGAGAGGCUUCAGAAUGAGACUGUUGCAAUAGGCCUUCCUGCUCAAAGCAUCUGCCACGACAUUAGCUUUGCCUGGAGUAUACUCAACGCUCGAAUUAAAAUCUUGGAGCAUUUCCACCCAACGAGUUUGCCGGAGAUUCAGGUUAGGCUAGGUGAAGAUGUGCUUGAGACUCUUGUGAUCGGUGAACACUUCAACCUUUCGUUCCAACAAGAGGUGUCUCCAAGUCAUCAGAGCAUGCACCACUGCUGCCAGCUCAAGAUCAUGCACAUGAUAAUUCUUCUCACUUGGCUUCAACUGCCUCGAGGUAUAAGCUACCACUUUCUUCUCUUGCAUCAGAACUGCACCAAGACCUUGAAGAGAGGCAUCGCAGAACAGUUGGUAAGGUUUGGAGUCAUCAGGAGGAACCAAGACUGGAGUAGAGUUGAGCUUCUCUUUGAGUGUGUCGAAGGCCAACUGACACUGUGGAGACCAUGCAUACUUCACACCCUUCUGAAGAAGACUUGAGAGAGGCUUAGCAAUCUUGGAGAAGUUCUCAACGAACCUUCUACAAUAGCUUGCAAGCCCGAGAAAGCUUCGAAGCUGCUUCACAUUCUGCGGAGGCUCCCACUCAACAAUGGCCUGCACCUUCGACGAAUCAACUUUGAUGCCCUCGGCAGAGAUGAUGUGCCCAAGAUAGACGACUUCUUUGAACCAGAACUCACAUUUGGAAAACUUGGCAUAGAACUUAUGCUCUCUCAGCUUUUGACCUCAUCUGCGCACCCGGAGAAACAACACCCAAAGGUCUAUCCAAAAUUGUCCAGGGGAAAUCAUGCUUGAUGAAAAAUGACUUUGACAUACAGCAAUGCGAAGCACCAGAAUCGAACAAGACUUUAGCAGGAAAAUCAUUGACUAAAAGGUUACCCAUAAUCACAUCUGAGGAGUUGUCUGCUUCAGCUGCAUUCACCAUAUUGACUCUAGAAGAUAUGGGGUUGAACUUCACGAUAGCAUUGCUUGGAGGUUUUCCUGGAGGAGGAGGCGGAAGACAGAGCUGAGAAGUGCACUUGUUGGCAUAGUGACCCUUCUGCCCACACUUGUGACAAGUAACAUCUGCCGGCUGACGGUACUGUGUCUGAGGAGGCCCUUGCUUCUGCUGCUGGAAUCUCUACUGGAAAGCUGGGUUGGGUGGGUGGGAAGAACCACGGCCACCUGAAUGCUUGAACUGCUGCGUGUGCUGAGGAGGAGGAGGAGACACCCAAUAUUUCUGUUGCUUCUGAACCACCUGAGUUGAGGAAGACGAGCUGGAACCUCUGAAGCGCUUCUUAGAAUUCUCCACCCUGAGCAAAGCUGCCUUAGCCCCGAGAGCCAAGUUGUAGAACUUAUCGAACUCCUCAGGAUCGUGCAAAGCGAGAGCUAGCUGCAAAUCUUCUUUCAAACCACCUCUGAACUCAUAAAUCUUGCUCUUCUGAUCCGGAAUAUCCUGCAAGGCGUAUCGGGCUAGCUCGUGGAACUCGACGUUGUACUUGUACACGGAGUUACCACCUUGCUUCAAGCGCAUGAACUUCUCACACAUCUCCUCCACAAAGCUAGACGGGAUGUAGUGGGAUCUGAAGUCUCUACAGAACUCAUCCCAAGAGAUCACUCUGGCACCCCUGGAAUCCUUCAACUGCAGCCACCAGAUAGAUGCUUGCCCCUUCAGCUGGAAUGUUGCAAACUUGACGAAAUCCUGUGG